UAGAGGUACGCUAUGGUGGUGAUAUAAUAAGAUGGACUGCAUACUAAGAAUAGAGACGCAGAUUAGGAAAUUAUUUACACUUACGU